rnacentral:rRNA from 1 species
CCCUUAGAUGUUCUGGGCUGCACACGCGCUACACUGAAGGGAUCAGCGUGUUCUUUUCCUGGUCCGAAAGGAUCGGGUAACCCGCUGAACCCCCUUCGUGGUAGGGAUCGGAGCUUGCAAUUAUUCUCCGUGAGCCAGGAAUUCCCAGUAAGCGCAAGUCAUAAGCUUGCGUUGAUUACGUCCCUGCCCUUUGUACACACCGCCCGUCGCUACUACCGAUUGGACGUUUUAGUGAGGAUUUUGGACUGAGCCAAUGGUGGUUCACACCACUGUUGUGCAUGGAAAGAUCUCCAAACUUGAGCGUUUAGAGGAAGUAAAAGUCGUAACA